rnacentral:lncRNA from 1 species
GUUUUUCAAAACUCCAUGUGUUGAAAAUUUAAUCUCCAUUUCAUAUGUUUGGAAGUGGGGCCUUUGGAAAGUAAUAAGGGUCAAAUGAAGUCAUGAGGGUGGUUCUCCUAUGGUUUGUACUAAUGGGACAUUUGUUAAAAGGCUGGUGAUUUGGGGAGGUGGUAGAAACUUUGAAAGGUGGGAUCUACUAGGGGGUCUUCUAGUCCAUUGGGAGUGUGCCCUUGUAGGGGAUUGUGCGACAUAGGCCCCUUCCUGAGGUAAUCUCUGUCAUGUGCUCCUGCCAAGAUGUGUUGCCCUUAUAAAUGGCCCAAAGCAAUGGGGACACUAGAUCUUGGAUUGGGAACCUCCAGAACUCUAAUCCAAAACAAACCUUUUCUUUUUGUAAGUUAAUUGUUUCAGGUAUUUUAUUAUAAUAAUGGGGAACUGACUAAUAUAGGACCCCAUGAUGUCAUAAGAAAGGGAAGAGAGCCAGGUGCAGUGGCAUAUAUCUGUAAUCCAGUUAUUCAGGAGGAUCUCAAGUUCAAGAAUAGCUGUGGUAAUUUAGUGAGAUCCUUUCUCAAAAUAAAACAUAAAAAUAAAGAGGGAUGGAGAUGUAGUUCAGUAGAAGAAUGCCCCUAGAUUAAAAAAUAAACAAAUUUUUAACAUACAAAUUCUAAUGAUAUUAAUGCAUAGUCUAAAAAAACUGGUACAUUUCAGACUACUUGCAAUUCAUGUUAUUUUAUAAAGGUUUUUUAUAGUUUUCAGUAAUAAAACCCAGUUAAUUUUAAAACUUGAAGUUUUGGGGCUGGGGAUGUGGCUCAAGUGGUAGCGCACUCGCCUGGCAUUCGUGUGGCCUGGGUUCUAUCCUCAGCACCACAUACAAACAAAGAUGUUGUGUCCGCCGAGAACUAAAAAAUAAAUAUUAAAAAAAUUCUCUCUCUCUCUCUCUCUCUCUCUCUCUCACUCUCACUCUCUCUUUAAAAAAAAAAACUUGAAGUUUUAUAAAAUCUUCAACAUAAUUUAAGACUAAAAUAUGAACAAAACUGGCUAAUUUCAGAGUCUCAGCUUUUGGGGAGUAAAUGGUAAUCUGCUAUAAAAAUAUAAAGUUAAAAGGAAACUAUUAAAUUUUUUAUGCUUUAGCUCUGUUUGUGGGGGGUAUGUAUGUAAAGCCAACUUUAGUAGGAACAGAAGAAUUGAAGAACUUUUUUUCUUCAAAACAUAUUUUUUUCUUGUCCACAGCCCAGUUGUGCCAGGGCAAGUGGUAGAUUUUAGACAGGCCAAAGAAAGUGCCUGGAGACAGCAAGAGAGACACAUGGUUUAUUGGGGCAAAACUUAGAAGAGAUCAAAGACUGCUCCAAGAAGAGUUCAGUGGUGAUAGACUGAAAGCACCUCCAUCCUUCAGGGUGCUUUACCAAGCAGUGCCUUCUCUCCCUCAUGGUGUUUGUCCAGUGACAGCUGGCUGGAUGAGUGACACAUGUCCUUUCCACAGUAUCCUCAGUUCUGCACCCAUCCCCACUCAGAGAGACAUUUUUACAUCUUAGGCUGCAGAGUGGUGAUUUCACCAUCAGCUUGCUUAGUUUGCUUGACCAGCAUUCCAAGGAGCAACUAUCCUGGCAUACAUGCAAGAAAGUAGCUUUCUACAGAUAACACUAACUUGCCCUAGUUCCCAGUGUGCAUAAGAGAAAACCAGUGUCCUUCAAGGUAAUAUGUAUCUGGACUUUCCUACUCUCAUUGUUCUUUAGCUUGGCUACAUUGGGGAACAGAAAGUGGCCAUUUAGGGACAUUGUAUUCUGCUGUCCUCCUUUUCCACCUUGUUCACCUUUCAAGAUAUACUGUCUUUCUCAUCAUUAUACCUACACACAUAGCUACAUGAUGGUGAGUAAUUUCAGGUUUAUACUGCCUACUCUUUUAAGGUUUGUUGGAAACAUUUUUAUAUCUUUUUGUCUUUGACAAGGAAGGAAGACUUUUUUUUUUUUUUUGUAUCUCACAAGGAAACCAUUCCAGAUUAUGAAAUAUUUGAACAUAAUACCUCCAAGUAUAUCCUUGGUGUACAGUGUUUCCUUCUUUAUAAGAAUAAUUUCUUCCCAGCACUUUGGAGGGAAAAAGAAAACUUCUUAAAAAAUACUAAUUGGGCAUGGGGACACAUACCUGUAGUCCCAGCUACUUAGGAAGCUGGGGUGAGAGGAUCCCUGAGUUCACAAGUUGGAGUCCUCCCUGGGAACAUAGUGAGAAUUCACAUCUCACUAUGGGUAGUGGCUAAUUUGUGAGGAUUAUUGUUGAUUUUGUUGAAUAAGAUAACAACAUUGUGAUUAUGUAGCAAAGUGGCCUUUGUUUGUUAGAGAUAAGUACUAAAGUAUGAAGGGAUUAAAUAUCCCAAUUACUAUAAUUUUCUUUAUAAUUUUUUAGCAUAAAAAUAAUAUGAGAUGAAGUUAAAGUAAAAUGGAUGCUAUUGUUACAUCCAAUUAAUAUUCUUGUAUUCAUUAUACUACUCUUCCAUAUUGUAUGUUGGUAAUUUCCAUGGUAAAGAGAAAAAAAUAUAUACUUUUCAAUAAAAUGAAUGAG